GUGCACAAGGGAGCUUGACUGUGAGACCGACGGGUCGAGCAGGGACGAAAGUCGGGACUAGUGAUCCGGCGGUGGCUUGUGGAAGCGCCGUCGCUCAACGGAUAAAAGGUACCCCGGGGAUAACAGGCUGAUCUUCCCCAAGAGUCCAUAUCGACGGGAUGGUUUGGCACCUCGAUGUCGGCUCGUCGCAUCCUGGGGCUGGAGUCGGUCCCAAGGGUUGGGCUGUUCGCCCAUUAAAGCGGUACGCGAGCUGGGUUUAGAACGUCGUGAGACAGUUCGGUCCCUAUCCGCUGUGCGCGUAGGAAUAUUGAGAAGGGCUGUCCCUAGUACGAGAGGACCGGGACGGACGAACCUCUGGUGUGCCAGUUGUUCUGCCAAGGGCAUGGCUGGUUGGCUACGUUCGGGAGGGAUAACCGCUGAAAGCAUCUAAGCGGGAAGCCUGCUUCGAGAUGAGUAUUCCCACCUCCUUGAGAGGGUAAGGCUCCCAGUAGACGACUGGGUUGAUAGGCCGGAUAUGGAAGCCCUGUAAGGGGUGGAGUUGACCGGUACUAAUAGGCCGAGGGCUUGUCCUCAGUUG
rnacentral:rRNA from 1 species